GGGGCAUGACCUCUUAGUAUCGAAGUUAACGCGAUAAGUUCUCCGCCUGGGGAGUACGGCCGCAAGGUUAAAACUCAAAGAAAUUGACGGGGGCCCGCACAAGCGGUGGAGCAUGUGGUUUAAUUCGAUGCAACGCGAAGAACCUUACCUACCUUUGAAUCCACAGAACCUAGCAGAGAUGUUGGGGUGCCUUCGGGAACUGUGAGACAGGUGCUGCAUGGCUGUCGUCAGCUCGUGUCGUGAGAUGUUGGGUUAAGUCCCGUAACGAGCGCAACCCUUGUCCUUAGUUGCCAUCAGGUUAUGCUGGGCACUUUAAGGAGACUGCCGGUGAUAAACCGGAGGAAGGUGGGGAUGACGUCAAGUCCUCAUGGCCCUUACAGGUAGGGCUACACACGUGCUACAAUGGUCGGUACAGAGGGAAGCCAACCCGCGAGGGGGAGCGAAUCUCAGAAAGCCGAUCGUAGUCCGGAUUGGAGUCUGCAACUCGACUCCAUGAAGUUGGAAUCGCUAGUAAUCGCGGAUCAGAAUGCCGCGGUGAAUACGUUCCCGGGCCUUGUACACACCGCC
rnacentral:rRNA from 1 species